rnacentral:lncRNA from 1 species
GCUGAGUGUAGAGGAGCUGCUAUAGGAUAAUGCAAAUCCUCCGCUGCGGUCCCCUCCCAUUGGCCCGUCACACCUCUGAGUGGGAGGGUCGCGGUCCACGCCGCCUUUAUAAGUGCAGAUUGCCUUCCAGCGCCUCAGUGACACUGCGUGGUUGCCCAAGAAGCUCUUAAAGCAAUUUGAGGGCCUUUAGAGGAAAAAAACAAUUGGAAUUUAUCACCUCUUGCAUAAUAAUCCUCUCACACACAGUCCCACACAUAAGACCGACAGAGUGCGCCGGUGAAGGGGGACUGCACCGUGAGUAGACGCCGCUUGAGUGAAAUAUCUGGACUGAGCACAACUCCAGCGGGCCACACUUCCCUGUCCUCGCGUUGGGAGAACCAUCUGCAACUUAAGCUUCAUCUCGAGUUCAAACGAACUUUAAGAACUUGUGCACGUGUCCUUCCGUUUGGAGUCCCCGGGACGCUCGUGGCCCUUCUUGACGCGCGCCUGCGCAGCCCGCUGUGACGGACGCACGCUGCUGCGAGCGCGCUAGAAACUUUAAAUCACGGCCAUGCUGCAGUGACCUCAGCGUCGAGCUGCAAACGAAAGGAUGCCCGCAAAACAUCUGUAGGAGUCCGGACGGAGGACUCCGCAGAGCCGAACGGAGGACGGUCAACCACGCGGAGGCGAGCGGGCUGCAGAGGUAAAGCGAGGACAGGACGGGCUGCUGUCUCCAAAUUCGCCAGGCUCGAGUUUCAGCCGCUUCGGGGGCUCCUGCAUUUGACCUGGGAUAAGUUGUCAACAAGCGCUUCGAGCGGAGGCGCACUGGCAGCAUGCACAUCGUCUAUGGUAUCCUCCUACUGAACAUGUGUAACGUCAAAGGCGAACCUAUACUGCACUAAGAAGAGAUCAGACUGGACGAGCGCUGCGUUUUCUAACCACAGGACCUUUGAUCUGGUACUUUCUUAAAUCCUGGGUGUAGAUUUGACGAGGUGAGCUUUAGUCAUUUAGUGUAUCAGACGGAUAAGGAUUGCAUUCGCUGCUAAAACUCUAUGCACCAACACGAUCGUUAAUAAGAGUUAAUUUUUUUUACUUUAAAUAUUUGCAGACACAUUUCCGCAGAGCCUGCGCGUCCACUCUGCAGCUCUGCGUCUUAAUGAGAGCUUGUCUGUUAGGAGGAUGCUUGAUUGACUGAAUGACUUUUUGCCUGGUGGGAGCGAAGGAGGAACUUGAUGCAUUAUUCUGUCAACAAGAAAUCUCUGGCUCGUGUGCUUCCUGCUGCCUAGAUAUAUGUGCAAUAUUGUGCAGAAGUGUCCGAUGUUGAGCCUACCUGUUGGACGGCGACGGCGCGCAGGAAGAGAGGUUGAACACGUUAAAAGUCCGAUCGGAAGCAACGGAGGAGCAACUAAAACCUUUCAAUAAACGGCUGUUGCUUAUUUCUGGCUGCCCGAAU